rnacentral:lncRNA from 1 species
CAAGAAAUGAUGCAACGUGAAGAGGAGUUCGCUUCUCAGCAUCCAAGGCGUUGACAUCCUCAGUUUUGUAGAUCAACAUCCGUAUCUCCUCUGGAUCACCGCUGAAAAUAGCUUGGACCAGUGGAGGCUGGUCGGCGAGCUUGAGCACGGCCAUCCUCCUCCUCCGCCGCCGUUCCUCCCGCGCACAUGCAGCUCCAGCGACGGGCGGCGCGCGCGCCCCGCGACCGGCGCCGCUUCUGCUACUGCUGCGGCCGCAGCUCCGCUCCGCUCCGCUCCGCGCCGGCGGGGCGGG